UACAGAGGUCCCGAGCGUUGUUCGGAUUCAUUGGGCGUAAAGGGUGCGUAGGUGGCGCUGUAAGUGGGGUGUGAAAUCCCGGGGCUUAACUCCGGAACUGCAUUCCAUACUGCGGUGCUUGAGGACUGGAGAGGAGACUGGAAUUUACGGUGUAGCAGUGAAAUGCGUAGAGAUCGUAAGGAAGACCAGUGGCGAAGGCGGGUCUCUGGACAGUUCCUGUCACUGAGGCACGAAGGCCAGGGGAGCAAACGGG
rnacentral:rRNA from 1 species